rnacentral:piRNA from 1 species
UACAUUAUGUCCGGCGACCUGGUGCCCAG